CCUACGGGCGGCAGCAGUGGGGAAUAUUGCACAAUGGGGGAAACCCUGAUGCAGCGACGCCGCGUGAGUGAAGAAGUAUUUCGGUAUGUAAAGCUCUAUCAGCCGGGAAGAAGAAAGCCGGUACCUGACUAAGCCGCCACGGCUUACUACGUGGCAGCAGCCGCGGUAAUACGUAGGGGGCACGGGUUAUCCGGAUUUACUGGGUGUAACGGGAGCGUAGACGGGUGUGCAAGUCUGAAGGUAAAGCCCAGGGCUCAAACCUGGGACAGCUUUGGAAACUGUUGGGCGUGAGUGCGGGAGAGGUAAGUGGAAUGCCUGGGGUAGCGGUGAAAUGCAUAGAUAUUAGGAAGAACACCAGUGGCGAAGGCGGCAUACUGGACAGUAACUGACGUUGAUGCACGAAAGCGUGGGGAUCGAACAGGAUUAGAUACCCGAGUAGUC
rnacentral:rRNA from 1 species